rnacentral:lncRNA from 1 species
CAAAAGUUCAUGAAGAUCAGUGUAACAUGCGCAAGGCAUGAUAGUAAUGAGGUGGGUGAAUCGGUUGCACAUAGUGGUCGCGUGUUUGAUGUUGCACCGAACAAUAGAGUGUCAAGUCAAGGAAGGACCGAACGACAAAAUGUCAAGCUGAAAGAAAGGAAGGAGAAUUUUGCAUCGGAUGGUAGAGGACCGUUGCAUCGAACGGAAGAGGACCAUUGCACCCAACAACAGAAGACCUUUGCACCGAACGACAGAGAGGAAGGAAAGGAAAUGCGUAGAGGAACACAUGAGAGGAGGGAGAAUAUUAAAUUGCGUGACUUCAUUCUGGAAUGAGUAACUUGUGGUAUGGUUUCUCUCUCUGCAAUUACCUUUUCUCAUCAUUCUUCUUUGAUUUUUUGGGCCUUUUCUGAAAUUCCUUUGUCUCUUCCUGUUUUUCAGGAAAUGCUUACAUCAUUGCUCUACUAUGACCUAUGUGAUUAUGCUACUGCCAUUGUUAUUUUUGUUAGUGUCAAGUGUUGCUUGUACUAAGACCCUAAUAUUUUACUAAUAAAAAUCCCCAACUUAUCUCCUUUUUCUUUUUUGUCUGAUAUCCUCCAUAUUUAUGGAGAUAGUCAUAAUUGAAUUUAAAAAAGGAACAUCUAAUUCUUUUUCGGAAUNN